GCCGGGGUGGCGGAACCCGGUCAUCGCGCUGGUCUCGAAAACCAGUGGACGCAUAGUCCUUGCGAGUUCAAAUCUCGUCCCCGGCG
rnacentral:tRNA from 1 species